rnacentral:rRNA from 1 species
UGGGGAAUCUUCCGCAAUGGACGAAAGUCUGACGGAGCAACGCCGCGUGAGUGAAGAAGGUUUUCGGAUCGUAAAACUCUGUCUUUUGGGGCGAACGUGAGUAUGGUGAACAAUCAUAGUCAGUGACGGUACCAAAGGAGGAAGCCACGGCUAACUACGUGCCAGCAGCCGCGGUAAUACGUAGGUGGCAAGCGUUGUCCGGAAUUAUUGGGCGUAAAGAGCGCGUAGGCGGGAUAGUCAGUCUGUUGUAAAAGUGCGGGGCUCAACCCCGUGAUGGCAAUGGAAACAGCUAUUCUUGAGUGCAGGAGAGGAAAGUGGAAUUCCCAGUGUAGCGGUGAAAUGCGUAGAUAUUGGGAGGAACACCAGUGGCGAAGGCGACUUUCUGGACUGUGUCUGACGCUGAGGCGCGAAAGCCAGGGGAGCGAACGGGAUUAGAUACCCCGGUAGUCCUGGCCGUAAACGAUGGGUACUAGGUGUGGGAGGUAUCGACCCCUUCCGUGCCGGAGUUAACGCAAUAAGUACCCCGCCUGGGGAGUACGGUCGCAAGACUGAAACUUAAAUGAAUUGACGGGGGUCAUAGCUGUUU